AUGUUUAGCAAAACCCUCUCCUGCUGCAAUCUAAGACCACUUUCUCCUUCUGGCUUUUGUGAAAACAGAGAACAACCCUUUGGAAUUUUGUUUAUAAUAACUCUUCUUAUUUGUCCCGUGUGUUAUUUGAGUCCUGAUUUUUAUGUGUUGAAGACCUGCGUUCUGAGGUUCCCGUGGUCUCUUGUUUUCUGCGUGCUGUUUCCAGCGCUGCUGCCCUGUUCUGCUAAUGCAGAAAGAAGACAGAGCCCUGGCCCUGAAAUCAGCGGUGACUGAGACCAACGUCCUUUGUUUAAGUUAAGAUCAAAUAGUGAAGCAAGUAUGUAAAUUCCUGCCAAAUGAAGCUAAAGCAGGCAUUCUGCUCUGUUUAGCAGUGGGAACAACCCUGCACAUCUGCUUCACAUGCGCUCUAUCGCUUGAUUACUUAAGCUGAGUCGCCAUUGAACACAGGCAAGCACACACCCUCACACACACACAAGCACUCCUGUAAUUUUUGGGCUAAACCAGUAAAACAGCCUCCAAUCCAAAUAUCAGUUUGCUAAAAAUUCUCUGUGAUUUGAUAGACUAAAUCUAUUUUGUUCUAAUACAGUCUGAGUUCACUCACUGUCCUUUCGAAACACACAAUGACCAACUGGAAAUGAAUGAUUCUAUCAUCUAAAAAGUUGGGAGUCCUUGCAAACUAACUGCAAGCCACUCUGAUGCAGAGAGUGUCCAGGCCCUGGCAUUUGGUGUUAAGGUGCUGGCCCUGUGGCUAGGCCAAGGUUCAUAACAAGCAUCACAACACACCACUGUUUUUUUAUGAGAAAUAGGACUAUAAACCUAAAAUUCAAGGUAAAUCUUUAUCCAAUUUCAGAGUUGGAAUGGUUAUGUGAAAAGUAAUUCCCCAGACCCUUUCCCCCAGAUUAUGGCUACAACAUUAGAAGAUAAAAAUAGAUUGUUCCUCAUUUUAAAUUUUCAAAAAAUACAGUAUUCAAUAGAUAGAUGGGGAGUUAGGUGGUAGAUAGAUACUUACUGUUCAAUUCUAAUGUUUCUGACUUAAAAUUUUAAGGUCAUUGUCUCCCUUCUGACACCUCUCACUACAUCCACAUCCCAUUAUAUCAUUACAGACUCAUGAAGCAAUGUACUUUUUACAUUUUGCAGGAUAAUGACUCUUUUGUAUUUCAUUUUUAUCAUAAUAUAAAUCUUGAAUUGCAAUUUGCAUAUCUUUUGUUUA
rnacentral:lncRNA from 1 species